AACAAGAUAAUCUAUAUUUAAAAUAAGGGAAAUACAAGAUUCCCAAAAUAGCACGUGGCGGAAAAAAAAUAGCUGUGAAAAAUAUUAAUUUUUGACGUGAAAAGCAACAAAUGGUGCAUAUAUGUAAUAAAGAAAUCUGUGAAAGAAUUUAAAAAUCUUAUUGAGUGCAAAGUUUCUAGGGACAAAAAAUAAGAGAUGUUUGUUCUUAAAACUUAUAUUUGUGGUUAAAAUUCGAUAAAAAUGAAUAUUAAUAACAUUUAACAACAAUUCUUACUUUUGUACAAGGCUGAAGGUAAAUCUA